rnacentral:rRNA from 1 species
UCACUGCUAUUGGGAUUCGACUAAGCCAUGCGAGUCGAGAGGGUUCGGCCCUCGGCAAACGGCUCAGUAACACGCGGAUAAUCUGCCCUUAGGUGGAGGAUAACCUCGGGAAACUGAGAAUAAUACUCCAUAGAUCUAGGAUGCUGGAAUGCACUUAGAUUGAAAGUUCCGGCGCCUAAGGAUGAGUCUGCGGACUAUCAGGUAGUAGUCAGGGUAAAGGCCUGACUAGCCUACGACGGAUACGGGUUGUGAGAGCAAUAACCCGGAGACGAUAUCUGAGACACGAUAUCGGGCCCUACGGGGCGCAGCAGGCGCGAAACCUUCACAAUGUGCGAAAGCGCGAUGAGGGGAUCCCAAGUGCUUGCUCGUAAGAGUAAGCUGUUUUUAUGUCUAAAACGCAUAGAGAGUAAGGGCUGGGUAAGACGGGUGCCAGCCGCCGCGGUAAUACCUGCAGCUCAAGUGGUGACCGCUAUUAUUGGGCCUAAAACAUUCGUAGCCGGUUUGGUAAAUGCCUGGGUAAAUCGUGUAGCUUAACUAUACGAAUUCCGGGUAGACUGCCAAACUUGAGACCGGGAGAAGCUAGAGGUACUCCUUGGGUAGAGGUGAAAUUCUGUAAUCCUAGGGGGACCACCAGUGGCGAAGGCGUCUAGCUAGAACGGGUUUGACGGUGAGGAAUGAAGCCCUGGGGGGCAAACCGGAUUAGAUACCCGGGUAGUCCAGGGUGUAAACGCUGCUUGCUUGAUGUUAGUUGGGCUCCGAGCCCAAUUAGUGUCGGAAAGAAGUUGUUAAGCAAGCUGCCAGGGAAGUACGGUCGCAAGGCUGAAAC